rnacentral:rRNA from 1 species
UACAGAGGUGGCAAGCGUUGUUCGGAAUUACUGGGCGUAAAGGGCGCGUAGGCGGCCAUCUAAGUCAGACGUGAAAUCCCCGGGCUCAACCUGGGAAUGGCAUUUGGGACUGCAAGGCUUGAGUGCGGCAGAGGAGACUGGAAUUCCUGGUGUAGCGGUGAAAUGCGCAGAUAUCAGGAGGAACACCGAUGGCGAAGGCAGGUCUCUGGGCUGACACUGACGCUCAUGCACGAAAGCGUGGGGAGCAAACAGG